rnacentral:rRNA from 1 species
AGAGUUUGAUCCUGGCUCAGAUUGAACGCUGGCGGUAUGCUUAACACAUGCAAGUCGAACGGUAGCAGGCCUUCGGGCGCUGACGAGUGGCGGACGGGUGAGUAACGCGUAGGAAUCUGCCUGGUAGUGGGGGACAACGUGGGGAAACUCACGCUAAUACCGCAUACGCCCUACGGGGGAAAGCGGGGGAUCUUCGGACCUCGCGCUAUCAGAUGAGCCUGCGUUAGAUUAGCUAGUUGGUGGGGUAAAGGCCUACCAAGGCGACGAUCUAUAGCUGGUCUGAGAGGACGAUCAGCCACACUGGGACUGAGACACGGCCCAGACUCCUACGGGAGGCAGCAGUGGGGAAUAUUGGACAAUGGGCGCAAGCCUGAUCCAGCAAUACCGCGUGUGUGAAGAAGGCCUUAGGGUUGUAAAGCACUUUCAAUUGGGAGGAAAACAGUUAGAUUAAUACCCUGACUCUUGACAUUACCUUUAGAAGAAGCACCGGCUAACUCCGUGCCAGCAGCCGCGGUAAUACGGAGGGUGCGAGCGUUAAUCGGAAUUACUGGGCGUAAAGCGUGCGUAGGCGGUUAAUUAAGUCAGAUGUGAAAGCCCCGGGCUCAACCUGGGAACGGCAUUUGAUACUGGUUAACUAGAGUUUAAUAGAGGGGAGUGGAAUUUCAGGUGUAGCGGUGAAAUGCGUAGAUAUCUGAAGGAACACCAGUGGCGAAGGCGACUCCCUGGAUUAAAACUGACGCUGAGGUACGAAAGCGUGGGUAGCAAACAGGAUUA